rnacentral:lncRNA from 1 species
CACAAAUUAUCCCCAAGCUUUUAUUAGUCAAACCUGUAGUCAUGGAAGCUGACAAGCGGUUAAGUGGGUAGCCUGAAUUUCCUCUGCAUCCUCUCCACUCUGUAGUCUUCACAGUCUGUCUGAUGAGUGGUGAACUGUCCAGAAAGCCUCACAGGCAGGGUAAGGAAAGGCCGUGAUCAGCUCAGUGAUCACUCUAGACGGGACUGGAAUCCAUCCUGUUGUAAAGGUGUUGAUGCUGAGAGCCCUCGAUUCCCCGCUGCUGACUUUGCCCCGUACUUGGUUGGCACAGGCAUUUCACUUGGCUUGCCCUCUGUUUUGAAGCUUGGAUGGUAACUACCAAACUUGUUGACAUCUCAAUUCUUGCAGAAUCAAAUUGCAGGAUAAAAGUUAAUCAGGACUGAGCAUUGAAGAGGCUUAUUUCCUGGCUGGAUUCCUCUUUUUCUUCGCUGUCACGGUGCUCUUUAAAAAUAGUUGCCUCACACAUUGUUAGGAGAUCUGUUGUUAGAAGUGCUUUAGUUUUCUUCAGGACUGUUUUGGUCUGGAUGAUAGGUUAGUUUUGCACAAAAUGGGCACUAGAUCUUAGCCAAGAAAACUUGAUAGAGCUGAUUUUUUGAAAUAAUCCUUUAAAGUUCUUGUGGGGUGGAUUAUACUCAGGGAUAAAGGUAAACAACAAAGUUAAACUGAGUUUCUGAAAAACACCUGCAUGCUCCACAUCACAUGUAAAUUCUCAGCGGGUUUCGUAAGCGUUCGCACCUGUGACUGAACCACAGUUCCUGUAUGUGUUAGUAUGAGGGUUUUCUUGAAGAAAAACACUCGCUAUGCUUUAGGCACGUACACACCAGUGUGUUCUAGAGGUAUUGAGCACUUGUUGUGUACUGGGCACUGGGGUGGAGGAAUCAGGCCACGGAUACCCUGUGACGUGCUCCAGCCUUCAAGGACUUCAUUGGUGCCGUGACAAUCGCUUCUCAUGACUUCCUUCUCAAAUGCCUGAGUGUGUUCACUUCCUGUCAGAGCCGGCAGCUAGCUGAUGCAGCCCGAUUUAGGAUUGCAUCAGCCUUCACUCUCCACUAACACUAUGAUCAGGGGAUGUUUUGACAUAGGUUCAGUGUCUUGGCUUUUUUAGUAACUGGGUUGUAUUGCAGGACAGCAAAACACUGCAAUAUAGCCUGGCAUUCAAAUGUGCCAAGUUCACCUCUGCAAAUAAACAUCUGUAAAGGUACUUUGGGGAAGGGGGAUGGAAGUGUGAUGGUUAGUGGGGGGAUUGGGGUGGGGUAGAAUCCAGAGGGGAGGGAAAGGUCUUCCUUGGUCCACAGUGUUCUGUGUACGGUGCAUUAUGCAGGCUGAUGAAUGAAGUAAAUCCAGUGUUGAAACCCCAUUCUCUUAUGUCACAUCGCUGGGAACCAUCUCUGCUCAGCAGCAAGGUGAGAGAGGAAGCAGCUUCUCCGGGAACUGAAGGCCUGACUGGCUGCAUCUCUCUCGGCCUUGGACCAGUGACACUAAGACCCCUGUGUGUCUCCCUGAUGACAGUGAGAACUGCAUUUGAGGGGGUUCCCAGGUUCAGGGAUAUCCCAACCUAAGUUUCAAAUAGAAGAGUUGUGUUCAUCCUCAUUUUAUUUCAGAAGCUGUUCUUAGUGGAGGGUUGGACAAUCUCCAGUCACUGAUGAGUGCUGAAGGUUCCAGAGCUCUGUUCUGAGUUUGGCUGCAGUUGGCCCAUGUUCUUCUGUGCCAAUGGUGCCGCCUCCUGUUUCUUUGUGAACCUGUGAGAAUAAUUCACAAGGUGCCUUGGGUCCCGGCAUUAAGAGCAUUGAGAUGCACAAAAUGGCUUGAUGAAAAUAAUUUGGGG